UACGGAGGGGGCAAGCGUUAUUCGGAAUCAUUGGGCGUAAAGGGCGCGCAGGCGGCUGCUCAAGUCAGGCGUGAAAGGCCUGGGCUCAACCCGGGAAUUGCGCUUGAGACUGGGCUGGCUUGAGUGCGGGAGAGGAUGGUGGAAUUCCCAGUGUAGAGGUGAAAUUCGUAGAUAUUGGGAAGAACACCGGUGGCGAAGGCGGCCAUCUGGACCGCAACUGACGCUGAGGCGCGAAAGCGUGGGGAGCGAACAGG
rnacentral:rRNA from 1 species